GUACUGAUGGUGUAGCGGUAACACACACUCUUGAUCUACGAAUAUGUAGCCUCUACAUUUCUGAGUGAAUCCAGGGUUCGAGUCCCUGUCAGUGCA